GCAAAUAAUAACUGCGAAUAAACACUCCCGUCGUCUGUCAUCUCGCGGGGAGCGUUGCAGCGGUUUCCUAGCAAAUAGCUUGUAAAAAUCUAAUAAUAUUAAAUCUAAAGAAGAAAACAACGAUAAAUUUUCGGUAUUGAGUUAGUGAAAUUCAAAUUUUACAGCAAAAAUGGCACUGUCAAUGAGUUCUUCCGGAGUGUCAUUGAUUAGCAAAUUUCGGGGCUGUUUGGCCGGCGCUUUAUUUGGGGAUUGUUUUGGUGCUCCUUUUGAAUUUGAAGAUGAAAACGGGCCGUCUCCGGUGGUUCUUAACAAAUUUUUUGCAAAACUGGAAGGACCACCAUUUAAAAGUAAAUGCCAUUUUUAUGCUCCAAAGUAUGCUUACACCGAUGAUACUGCAAUGACAAAAUGUAUUGCUCAGUCGUUCGUUGAUCGUGCAAGUCUUGAUGAAAGAGAUAUAGCCAAGAGGUUUGUAACUGACUUUUAUACAGACACUACAGAGAGAGGUUACGGAGGACAUGUUACUGAAGUUUUUCGUAAACUACGAGACCAACAAUGUGCUGAUCCCAUGAAGCCAGCUUCUGAACAAUUUAAUGGUACUGGUUCAUAUGGUAAUGGAGGGGCAAUGCGGGUAUCUCCUGUUCCAUUGUUUUGCUUUGGAGACUACAACCGCAUGAUUCACGUUGCAAAACGUGUUACUCAAAUCACUCACACACACCCAUUAGGUAUAAAUGGGGCAAUAUUGCAGUGUCUUGCUAUCCAUCAGGGUUUGACUCUUGAUCCCAGGGGUGAGCCCUUAGAUGUUCAAAAGUUUGCAGAUGAACUUAUUACUAAAAUGGAAGCUAUCGAAGAGCCAGAUCAGAUUGAUGGCAGAAGACCCUACAAUACUCAGCUUCAACUAAUAAAAAAACUAUUGGCAAAGGAAGGAGGUGCAAGUGCCCACCAAGUUCAAGAGUCCUUAGGAACCAGUGUGGAUGCUCUAUUUUCCGUCCCCACUGCUAUAUACAGCUUUUUACGUGCCCAAAAACCAAUUCCUGAUAUUGAGACUGAUAACAAAUUUCGACGCACUAUCCAUUAUGCUAUUUCACUUGGUGGAGACACUGACACCAUUGCAUCUAUGGCUGGUGCCAUUGCAGGUGCAUACUUUGGUGAAGAAGAAAUCAAUGAUUCGUAUAAAAUGUACUGUGAAUAUGUCGAAGAAAUAUUAGAAUUGGCAAAUGGUUUACAUAAAAUAGCCAAGGAAUGAAAUUGAGAUAGAAAUUAAUUUGUACACAACAAAGCUUUGUAAAGACGCUGUCAUCAGUUUUAAUUUUUAUUGCCACUGGUCAAAUUCAAGUCCCUGCCAUGUAGCGCGCUACGUACACACUUCCGCCGAUGUACCUCAGCUGUUUCCUGUUUCCGCGUCGGAAUUCUGUCUGCCUGACUGCGCACUAGCGGCAGAGGCUUUCUGCUGC